rnacentral:rRNA from 1 species
CAGCCGCCGCGGUAAUACGGAGGGGGCUAGCGUUGUUCGGAAUUACUGGGCGUAAAGCGCACGUAGGCGGCUUUGUAAGUUAGAGGUGAAAGCCCGGAGCUCAACUCCGGAAUUGCCUUUAAGACUGCAGAGCUAGCAGGUGAGAGAGGUGAGUGGAAUUCCGAGUGUAGAGGUGAAAUUCGUAGAUAUUCGGAAGAACACCAGUGGCGAAGGCGGCUCACUGGCUCAUACUGGACGCUGAGGUGCGAAAGCGUGGGGAGCAAACAGGAUUAGAUACCCGGGUAGUCCCUGUCUCUUAUAA